AGGCUUGGAUCAGUCCAUGACUCACACGGACGAUCGUCCUGACACCUAAGUGGUGUGCAAGAUGAGACAGCUUACACCUGGACCGGUGUAAGUGCCUUGAUAAAUGAGGAGUAUUCAAGGAGAUUAUUAUUGCCUUAGUAAGGCUAAGAUGAGACUUCUUAAGAAAUCAACUAUAGAUCUAUCUCAAUCCAUAGUAAGCCUAUUGGAAGCCGGAUGUGGGCACUCAUAAGUUGAGUAGCUCAGGUUAGUACUUUAAUGAUGACUAGUGUUG
rnacentral:lncRNA from 1 species